rnacentral:snRNA from 1 species
GGAUGUGAGGAUGAUCUUGAGAUGGCGUCUGUCAGUCUUUUGAUUGCCAGGAUCAAUUUGGCUGACCAGAAUGACUAGGCAGACGCCCACUCCCCCUCUUACUGUUCUAGGCUUGUUCCUCCUGAGACUGACUUUAUGACAGUCUUAUCUGAGAAAGGAAAAAUUAUUUUUCAGUCAAGGGAAAAAGAAUAAGUGUACUCUCCUAAUAGGGCAUAGGAUUCGAAAUUUUUUAUUGAGACAUGCUCCUGGAAAAAUUUGGAUUU